rnacentral:rRNA from 1 species
UACGAAGGGGGGCUAGCGUUGCUCGGAAUGACUGGGCGUAAAGGGCGCGUAGGCGGAUGGCACAGUCAGAUGUGAAAUUCCCGGGCUUAACCUGGGGGCUGCAUUUGAUACGUGUGAUCUAGAGUGAGGAAGAGGGUCGUGGAAUUCCCAGUGUAGAGGUGAAAUUCGUAGAUAUUGGGAAGAACACCGGUGGGCGAAGGCGGCGACCUGGUCCUUGACUGACGCUGAGGCGCGAAAGCGUGGGGGAGCAAACAGG